GGGCCCAUCCUGCCCAGCCCUGACAUACAGAGUGUAUGAUGUCAUAUCCAGGGCCCCAUCCUCCCCAGCCCUGACAUACAGAGUGCAUGAUGUCAUAUCCAGGGCCCAUCCUGCCCAGCCCUGACAUACAGAGUGUAUGAUGUCAUAUCCAGGGGCCCCAUCCUCCCCAGCCCUGACAUACAGAGUGCAUGAUGUCAUAUCCAGGGCCCAUCCUCCCCAGCCCUGACAUACAGAGUGUAUGAUGUCAUAUUCAGGGGCCCCAUCCUGCCCAGCCCUGACAUACAGAGUGCAUGACGUCAUAUCCAGGGGCCCCAUCCUGCCCAGCCCUGACAUACAGAGUGCAUGACGUCAUAUCCAGGGGCCCAUCCUGCCCAGCCCUGACAUACAGAGUGUAUGAUGUCAUAUCCAGGGGCCCCAUCCUCCCCAGCCCUGACAUACAGAGUGCAUGAUGUCAUAUCCAGGGGCCCAUCUUCCCCAGCCCUGACAUACAGAGUGCAUGAUGUCAUAUCCAGGGGACCCAUCUUCCCCAGCCCUGACAUACAGAGUGUAUGAUGUCAUAUCCAGGGCCCCAUCCUCCCCAGCCCUGACAUACAGAGUGUAUGAUGUCAUAUCCAGGGCCCCAUCCUCCCCAGCCCUGACAUACAGAGUGUAUGAUGUCA